rnacentral:rRNA from 1 species
AUGUCUAAGUAUAAACGAUUCUAUCGUGAAACCGCGAACGGCUCAUUAUAACAGCUAUAAUCUACUUGAUCUUGACAUAUCCUACUUGGAUAACUGUGGUAAUUCUAGAGCUAAUACAUGCACUAAAGCCCUGACCUCACGGAAAGGGUGCAUUUAUUAGAACAAAACCAAGCCGCUUGCGGUUUUUUGUUGACUCAGAAUAACUCAGCUGAUCGCAUGGUCUUGUACUGGCGACGUGUCUUUCGAGUAUCUGCCUUAUCAACUUUCGAUGGUAGUGUAUCUGACUACCAUGGUGGUGACGGGUAACGGAGGAUAAGGGUUCGACUCCGGAGAAGGCGCCUGAGAAAUGGCGACUACGUCUAAGGAUGGCAGCAGGCGCGCAAAUUACCCACUCUCAGAAUGAGGAGGUAGUGACGAGAAAUAACGAGACCGUUCUCUAUGAGGCCGGUCAUCGGAAUGGGUACAAUCUAAACCCUUUAACGAGUAUCUAUGAGAGGGCAAGUCUGGUGCCAGCAGCCGCGGUAAUUCCAGCUCUCAAAAUGCAUAGAAUUAUUGCUGCGGUUAAAAAGCUCGUAGUUGGAUCUGUGCUAGGGACUUGGUCCGUCUUCGGACGCGUACUGAGCUCCCUUGCUUUUCUGCCGGUUUUCCCAGCAUGGCUUUCAUCGGCUGUGUUGGGUGGCUGGUGAUUUUACUUUGAACAAAUCAGAGUGCUUCAAACAGGCGUUUCGCUUGUAUGUUUUUGCAUGGAAUAAUAGAAGAGGAUCUCGGUUCUAUUUUAUUGGUUUUAUAGACCGAAAUAAUGGUUAACAGAGACGAACGGGGGCAUUAGUACUUUUGCGCUAGAGGUGAAAUUCUUGGACCGCAGAAAGACUAACUACAGCGAAAGCAUUUGCCAAGAACGUCUUCAUUAAUCAAGAACGAAAGUCAGAGGUUCGAAGGCGAUCAGAUACCGCCCUAGUUCUGACCGUAAACGAUGCCAACUAGCGAUCUACCGGUGGAAUAUUCGCCCUGGUAGGGAGCUUCCCGGAAACGAAAGUCUUCCGGUUCCGGGGGAAGUAUGGUUGCAAAGCUGAAACUUAAAGGAAUUGACGGAAGGGCACCACCAGGAGUGGAGCCUGCGGCUUAAUUUGACUCAACACGGGGAAACUCACCCGGCCCGGACACUGUAAGGAUUGACAGAUUGAUAGCUUUUUCAUGAUUCGGUGGAUGGUGGUGCAUGGCCGUUCUUAGUUCGUGGAGCGAUUUGUCUGGUUUAUUCCGAUAACGAGCGAGACUCUAGCCUGCUAAAUAGUCUACACAUUUCCUAUCGUGUGUAGUACUUCUUAGAGGGAUUAUCGGUGUAUAGCCGCAUGAAAUUGAGCAAUAACAGGUCUGUGAUGCCCUUAGAUGUCCGGGGCUGCACGCGCGCUACACUGGCGCAAUCAGCGUGCUUAUCCCUUCCCGAGAGGGAUUGGUAAACCAAUCAAAAUGUGCCAUGAUUGGGAUCAGAGAUUGCAAUUAUUCUCUGUAAACGAGGAAUUCCAAGUAAAUGCGAGUCAUCAACUCGCGUUGAUUACGUCCCUGCCCUUUGUACACACCGCCCGUCGCUGCCCGGGACUGAGCCAUUUCGAGAAAUCUGGGGAUUGCUGAUUGACGGUCUUUCGGGAUUGUCUUUCGGUGAGAACCAGUUUAAUCGCAGUGGCUUGAACCGGGC